rnacentral:rRNA from 1 species
CGCGAUACAGGGUGACAGCCCCGUACACAAAAAUGCACAUACUGUGAGCUCGAUGAGUAGGGCGGGACACGUGGUAUCCUGUCUGAAUAUGGGGGGACCAUCCUCCAAGGCUAAAUACUCCUGACUGACCGAUAGUGAACCAGUACCGUGAGGGAAAGGCGAAAAGAACCCCGGCGAGGGGAGUGAAAAAGAACCUGAAACCGUGUACGUACAAGCAGUGGGAGCACGCUUAGGCGUGUGACUGCGUACCUUUUGUAUAAUGGGUCAGCGACUUAUAUUCUGUAGCAAGGUUAACCGAAUAGGGGAGCCGAAGGGAAACCGAGUCUUAACUGGGCGUUAAGUUGCAGGGUAUAGACCCGAAACCCGGUGAUCUAGCCAUGGGCAGGUUGAAGGUUGGGUAACACUAACUGGAGGACCGAACCGACUAAUGUUGAAAAAUUAGCGGAUGACUUGUGGCUGGGGGUGAAAGGCCAAUCAAACCGGGAGAUAGCUGGUUCUCCCCGAAAGCUAUUUAGGUAGCGCCUCGUGAAUUCAUCUCCGGGGGUAGAGCACUGUUUCGGCAAGGGGGUCAUCCCGACUUACCAACCCGAUGCAAACUGCGAAUACCGGAGAAUGUUAUCACGGGAGACACACGGCGGGUGCUAACGUCCGUCGUGAAGAGGGAAACAACCCAGACCGCCAGCUAAGGUCCCAAAGUCAUGGUUAAGUGGGAAACGAUGUGGGAAGGCCCAGACAGCCAGGAUGUUGGCUUAGAAGCAGCCAUCAUUUAAAGAAAGCGUAAUAGCUCACUGGUCGAGUCGGCCUGCGCGGAAGAUGUAACGGGGCUAAACCAUGCACCGAAGCUGCGGCAGCGACGCUGAUGCGUUGUUGGGUAGGGGAGCGUUCUGUAAGCCUGUGAAGGUGUGCUGUGAGGCAUGCUGGAGGUAUCAGAAGUGCGAAUGCUGACAUAAGUAACGAUAAAGCGGGUGAAAAGCCCGCUCGCCGGAAGACCAAGGGUUCCUGUCCAACGUUAAUCGGGGCAGGGUGAGUCGACCCCUAAGGCGAGGCCGAAAGGCGUAGUCGAUGGGAAACAGGUUAAUAUUCCUGUACUUGGUGUUACUGCGAAGGGGGGACGGAGAAGGCUAUGUUGGCCGGGCGACGGUUGUCCCGGUUUAAGCGUGUAGGCUGGUUUUCCAGGCAAAUCCGGAAAAUCAAGGCUGAGGCGUGAUGACGAGGCACUACGGUGCUGAAGCAACAAAUGCCCUGCUUCCAGGAAAAGCCUCUAAGCAUCAGGUAACAUCAAAUCGUACCCCAAACCGACACAGGUGGUCAGGUAGAGAAUACCAAGGCGCUUGAGAGAACUCGGGUGAAGGAACUAGGCAAAAUGGUGCCGUAACUUCGGGAGAAGG